UCGAGGGGCAGCGGGGAGUAGCAAUACUCUGCCGGCGACCGGCGCACGGGUGAGUAACGCGUGAGCGACAUGCCCGUUGCCCGUGGACAACCGGUGGAAACGCCGACUAAUCCCCGAUGGGAUAUUGUGCCGCAUGGCACGAUAUUGAAAGUUACGGCGGCGACGGAUUGGCUCGCGUCCGAUUAGCUGGUUGGCGGGGUAACGGCCCACCAAGGCUGCGAUCGGUAGGGGUUCUGAGAGGAAGGCCCCCACAAUGGGACUGAGACACGGCCCAUACUCC
rnacentral:rRNA from 1 species